CUUGAACUUUAUAAGAGGUCCAGCCUGCCCAGUGACUCUGUUCAACGGCCGCGGUAUCCUAACCGUGCGAAGGUAGCGUAAUCACUUGUUCUUUAAAUGUGGACUAGUAUGAAUGGCACUACGAGGGUUAUACUGUCUCCUUUUUCUAAUCAGUGAAACUAAUUUUCCCGUGAAGAAGCGGGAAUAUUACUAUAAGACGAGAAGACCCUAUGGAGCUUUAAACAACCCAGCAAUUACUUCUAAAAUUAUAAAUUUCAGAAUAUUCAUUUUUCUAAGUAACAUGUCUGCAAGUUUUUGGUUGGGGUGACCAUGGAGAAUAACAUAACCUCCAUAUUGAAUGAAUUCCCUUCUAAGCUAAAAAUUACCUAUUGAAGCAUCAAUAUACUGACAUCUAUUGACCCAAUAUAUUUGAUCAACGAACCAAGUUACC
rnacentral:rRNA from 1 species